rnacentral:rRNA from 1 species
UACGAAGGAUGCAAGCGUUAUCCGGAUUUAUUGGGCGUAAAGAGCGUGUAGGCGGCCAGGUAGGUCAGCUGUGAAAACUCGAGGCUCAACCUCGAGACGCCGGUUGAAACCAUCUGGCUAGAGUCCGGAAGAGGAGAGUGGAAUUCCUGGUGUAGCGGUGAAAUGCGCAGAUAUCAGGAAGAACACCCGUGGCUAAGGCGGCUCUCUAGUACGGUACUGACGCUGAGACGCGAAAGCGUGGGGAGCGAACAGG